CAUCAGUAUAGAUAUAAAACUUUACAGAAUUAGAAUUUUUGUCUUAUAAUCUUUUUCACACAUAAUCUAUGGUGGAUAGUUUCCUAUAUCACUGAGCAGUCUCAUAAAAUAUUAUCUUUAGUGGCUACUAAAAAUCACCAUAUGCUUGAAAUGAUAUUUACUAAAACAAUUUUUUACUUGGGGACAGACCAUUCAGGCGGCCUGGCCUGCUAUCUAUCUUCUCAAGCAAACUACUUGGAGUUUCCUCUUAAGAAAAUUUGAAUAGGCCCAGAAAAAAUAAUUACAUGUUAUGGAUUUCAUGGUCACUCAGUAAAGGAGACAGACCUUGUAGUAUUAGCCCAAAUCCUAUAAAAUCCCAUCUUUGAAUUCCUAGCUAUUUUAUAAUCCCUUUUAAAAGCUACCUAUGGUAAGCCCCAGGCCAACAUCAUUCUAAAUGGAAAAAAUAAAUGAAAGCAUUCCCUCUAAAAACUGGAACAAGUCAGGGAUGCUCUCUUUCACCUUUCAUCACUUCUAUUUAACAUAGUUCUUAAAACACUGGCAGAGCAAUUAGACAGAUAAAAGAAAUUAAAGAAUUUGAAUAGGUAAAGAAGAACUCUAAUUAGCACUAUUUGCCAACAAUAGGAUUAUAUACCUGGAAGACCCAAAAAAUUCCUCCAGAGAACUUCUAGAACUAGUAAAUGAAUUCAGCAAAGUAGCAGGAUACAAAAUCAACACCCAUAAAUCAAAGGCGUUUCUGUAUAUCAGUGGCAAAGCCUCUGAAAGGGAAAUGAGGAAAACUACCCCAAUCUUAAUAGCCUCAAAAAAUAAAAUAAAAUACUUGGGAAUCAAAAAAAUAGGUUAAAGAUCUAUACAAUGAAAACUACAGAACCCUAAAGGAAAAAAAAAUCAAAGAAGACCUCAGUAGAUGGAAAGACAUAGACCCAGCUAUCCCUCUCCUCAGUCUAUAUGCAAAGGACUUAAAAACAGCAUACUACAGGGACACAGCCACAUCAAUGUUUAUAGCAGCACAAUUCACAAUAGCUAAAUUGUGGAACCAACCUAGAUGCCCUUCAGUAGAUGAAUGGAUAAAGAAAAUGUGGUAUAUAUACACAAUGGAAUAUUAUUCAGCAUUAAAAGAGAAUAAAAUCAUGGCAUUUGAAGCUAAAUGGAUAGAGAUGGAGAAUAUAAUGCUAAGUUAGUCAAUCCCCCCAAAAAACAAAUGCUGAAUGUUUUCUCUGAUUUAAGGAUGCUGAUUCAUAAUGGGGUUGGUGGGGGGCAUGGG
rnacentral:lncRNA from 1 species